GAUGAAGAACGCAGCGAAAUGCGAUAAGUAAUGUGAAUUGCAGAAUUCAGUGAAUCAUCGAAUCUUUGAACGCACAUUGCGUCCCUUGGUAUUCCGAGGGGCAUGCCUGUUCGAGCGUCAUUAUAACCCCUCAAGCUCAGCUUGGUGUUGGGGCCUGCUGCACUGGCAGCCCUUAAAAUCAGUGGCGGCGCCAUCUGGCUCUAAGCGUAGUAAUUCUUCUCGCUAUGGAGUCCUGGUGGAUGCUUGCCAUCAACCCCCAAUUUUUCUAUGGUUGACCUCGGAUCAGGUAGGGAUACCCGCUGAACUUAAGCAUAUCAAUAAGCGGAGGA
rnacentral:misc_RNA from 1 species